rnacentral:rRNA from 1 species
CCACUCGUCCUUACUAGUGGACNCGCCGUACGAAGGCGUAUUAACUACGUAUGUUGUCAUGUUGAUGCAUAUUUUCAUGACCAAAGGCUUCGGCCGGUAAAGGAUGGGGAUGCGUCUGAUUAGCUUGCCGGCGGGGUAACGGCCCACCGGGGCGACGAUCAGUAGGGGUUCUGAGAGGAAGGUCCCCCACAUUGGAACUGAGACACGGUCCAAACUCCUACGGAAGGCAGCAG